UACAGAGGGUGCGAGCGUUAAUCGGAAUUACUGGGCGUAAAGGGCGCGUAGGCGGUGAGAUGGGUGUGAUGUGAAAGCCCCGGGCUUAACCUGGGAAGGGCAUCGCAAACUAUCUGACUGGAGUAUAUGAGAGGGUGGCGGAAUUUCCGGUGUAGCGGUGAAAUGCGUAGAGAUCGGAAGGAACGUCAAUGGCGAAGGCAGCCACCUGGCAUAAUACUGACGCUGAGGCGCGAAAGCGUGGGGAGCGAACAGG
rnacentral:rRNA from 1 species